rnacentral:rRNA from 1 species
GACUUUCCAGAGAGGAUGGUGCCUUCGGGAACUCAGCACAGGUGCUGCAAAAAAUCAGCUCGUGUCGGAGAUGUUGGGUUAAGUCCCGUAACGAGCGCAACCCUGUCCUUAGUUCCAGCACGUUAUGGUGGGCACUCUAAGGAGACUGCCGGUGACAAACCGGAGGAAGGUGGGGAUGACGUCAAGUCAUCAUGGCCCUACCCCAGGGCUACACACGGCUCAAUGGUCUCCAAAGGGUGGGGAACGCGAGGUGGAG